rnacentral:lncRNA from 1 species
CUUUUUCUCUAUUCUCGAAGGAAGAACUAGAAAUCGUCUUCUCGUGCUCUUCAUUUUCUUCAACAGAUCUGCAGAUUAGCGCCGUAAUAGAGGUAAAUUUGUUCAUUUUUUGCACAUGGUUCCUCUAUCUCAUUCUAUUUUUUGCAUUUUAAUUGUUUAUGCAAACCGUUGUUCGCAAUUUGUGUUUUUUGUUCCUCACACUCUGUCUCCCGUCGGUUCUUGUUGAUUUUCUUUAGGUUUCAUGUUGUGAAGACAGUGAAGUUUCGAGUGUGGUUAAAAGGUAAUAAUUUUUUUUUUUUUUGAACACGAACUCUAUAAAUUUGAAUUUCUUCCAUAAUUUUUACUUAGAUCUUCUAUGGAAAUUGUUAUCUUGUUCAUUUUCUAAAGUUUUUGUACCUUUUUUUUUUUUUACUUAUUUUGGAACACAAAUCGUAGCACUGUACUUAGUUAAAUUUUCAAGUUGGGAAUUUUGAAAGUCAUGUGGUUUUUUUAGGAGUUUAAGUUAGUGUGUUUAGUUUGAAUUAUUUAUUUAUUUAUUUUUUCAAAAUUAAAAUCUAUGGCCGAUAUGCUCUUUUGGCCUCCUUGGUUUUGAGGACAAAGUAUAUUAGGUGAACCCAUUUGGUUUUGGAAUUAAAUUCAGUGAUUCAAUUGUUAUAAAAAAUAAAGCAAGCCUUCGAAGAAAAAUUGAAGUUUUAAUUCAGGGAGAUUUGUGGAUUUUUACUUUGAAUUUAGCAGAUUUUGAUGGCUCAGCCUAAUUCUAAGGAACCCAAUUGUCAGUAUUAUAAAGUGAAUCUCACUAGAGGUCUUUAUCUCAACUUUCGUUUUCCACUAAUGAUGAUGGCUUGCCCCUGUUAAGUCCUUUUUCCAGUAGUGAGCUGUUGGCUUCUUCAAACUAUAGUUUGAUGGAGGAAACAAAUGUUACUUGAGUGCCACCACUUACUCUAUCCUUUCCGAGGAAAAAUGUCUGGCAAGGUAGCAAUGGUCUUCUCCCAUGUAAAGGACAUCAACGUUCUAGCAGUGAUGUUCCAUUAGGAUUUUUGACUAUGAUUAAGUCUUCACCUCUGUUGGUGCCCAUAAAUGGUCAGGUAGUAUUGGGAAAAACGAUGCUUAUAAGAGAGAAUCUCGGAAAUUAUAAACCCGUUGGGUUGAAGAGAUGAGAAAUGAAUAAAAAUAAUGAUAGGUGUUAGGAAAUCAGAGGGGAAAGUAGGAGAUGAUUUGUUUAAUUCAUGGAUGAAGUUUGAUAGUGUAGAUUCAUUGAACUCAUCUUGCAUUGAGGAUAAAGACAAGGACAUUGUCGAUUGUGGCACAAGGAUGAGUGGUGGUGACAACAACAGUAUUGAAUCAGAAUCUAUCUCAAGGCAUGGGUUGAGUACAAGGGAAGAUUUCAAAAGGAGCAUGAUCGGGAUAUUGCGCCUCCAGCCAGACGCUACAGGUGUCUUUCGAUGGAUAGUGCUUUUAGAAAUUUGAAGUUUGGUGAUAGUUGCCAAAUUUUUGGAAAAUCUAGGGGGCUGGCUACCUCGAACCAAUUCAAUGACUGAAGGAUAUGGUAAACUCAACUUGGAGUUUGGGCAUGGUCAAUUUAGUGAAGUAUGAGGGUUUAGUUUGAUUUUUUAUUUUAUUUAUUUAUUUAUUUAUUUUUUGGGUCUUCUUUCAAAUUCAAAAUUCAUGAAUCUAUGGUUGAUAUGUUCUUUUUUGUUUUCAAAGAAGUUAGUUUUACCGGUUCAAUUUGACGUUUGUUAGUUGAUUUUUGUGAGGUAUAAAUAUAUCUGGCUCUAGGAUUUAACUUCUUUUCAUUCUCUACCGGUAGCAGGUAUGAAUGUACUUAUUUUUCUUCUUACUGAAUAAGUUACUUAAUUAUGUUGAAUUUACUUAUUUACUUUUCUUAAAACAUAAAUCGUAGCACUGUAUUUUCUCAAAAUUUUCAUUUGGAAAUUUUCAAAGUCAUGUUUCCUUCCUUAGGGUUUUUUUUUUUUCUUUUUUCUCUGUCUUAUUUCAAAUUUAAAACUAUUGAAUGUAUAGUCGAUAUCUUUUUUUUAAUUUUUGUCUAAUUUAGAUUUAUUACUUAAAUCUCUCAUUUGUUCAUUGAUGUUCUACGUGGUGUAAACUAUAUCUGUCAUUGGGGUUUUUGUUCAUUCUGUUGUCUAUUGGUAGCAGGUAUUUUGUGCUCCUCUUAGCUCACACUAUUUUUAAUGUCGAUUUUAUAUAUUUGGGAAUUUUCGUAGAAAUUGUUUUUCCUUUUGCUCAUAUUACCAUUUCAAUAGUGCCUUCGAAUGUAAUUAUUUAGUUUUUAGCUUUUGUUUAGUUUAACAUUACUGAUGAACCUUCA